UCGAUCGAAGUGUACGAGUUGCAAGAACAGUUGAGCACGAACUGCAUGUAUUAAUGAGGUCCGGCACGCGAUGUGGUCUGUGCCAUUGUUUAAUGUUUUCCUGUGUGAUUAUCCAAUGUUUCUUUCCAUUACUUUUACAUGGUUGUAGUCAGCGUUUUCUGUAUUUUUCAAGCAAGGAAUGUUUCUGCACUUGUGCACUCACUUUUGAUUGUCCUGUUUUAUUUUCUCCUGAAGUACUUGAUCGGCAGACACGAAAUUUAAGGCGCACGACGAGCUCAUCGGGCUAUGCCAACUGCUUGUAAGGGAGAAAAUAAGAACUACAAAAUCAACAAGAUUUUGUCUGAGCAGCAUGAUCUCGAGAUGCUCCUUUUCCAUGUAUCGCCAAGAUAUAAAGGAAGAAGACAGUCAGAAGCAAAAUUGAAAAGAAAGUACUUUAGCCUUGAUUUUGAGUUUAUUGAGUGCCUCUGCCUUUCCACGACAGCCUCAUUAGUUGGUGCGUCCAACCCAAGCGAAUGAUGUUGAGCAUAUGCAGCCGCUGGCAACUGAGCAUUCCCAGUCGCAAAGAGGAAGACGGGCGCACCUGCGAAAGCACUGCCAGAUGUUCAACCGCAGCUUCUCAUUGUUCAACAUACAUCAAUAUGAGUUGUCUGAGCUUCAUGCUUUCGCAAGCUUAUGAACCCCGAUUGGUUAUUUGCAGUUCUUUGAUGUUGAUAUUGACGCUCGUUGCUGACAUCAAAUUUUAGGUUUAAACAGCCUGAUCA